rnacentral:miRNA from 1 species
UGUUGAAGACUGCAUCUCGAGC